UUAGGGUGAGUCCCUGAGCGUGUGAGUUGUGGGGAGGGGCAGAGGCAGAGGAGAGAGAGGAUCUCAAGCAGACUCCCCACUGAGCACAGAGCCCGAUGCAAGGCUCCAUCUCUCAACCCUGAGAUGAUGACCCGAGCUGAAAUCAAGAGUUGGACACUUAAAUCAAGAGUUAGGUGCCCUAAGGUUGUAAUUACCUUUAUUUGUUUUUGAUGGAUGAGAAAAGUGAGUUUCAAAUGCAAUCGACUUAAUUUAUACAUUUUACAAAUAAAAUGAUACAGUGAUUUUGUCCCUCCAGAUGUACUUUUCACCUUUGUCCCUACCUCCUCUGUACCCGGAGAGGCUUACCUCAGCACACCCCAUUAUGUAGGUUCCCCUGUCCUCUGGCAUUCGCUCACCUCAGCCAGGCAGAUACCAGCAGGAGACAGGAAGAGGGGAAGAGAGAGUGACCAGAGUACAGAAGGGAAGUCGACACCUAGCUUUUUCCUGGGAAACAACCCGCUAAUAAUGGUGUGUCUACGACUCUUCCUCCUCCUCCUCGCCUCUUCCUUCCUGUUAACCUCUUGUUCUCGAUGGCGAGCUACGGUGCUCCAUCCGCAUCCAACGGCCGCGCUGCGUAAACCAGACCGUACAGUGUUAUUCCCAAACCAACAGGCUUUAUUCUCUCCUUUCAGCCAACAAAUCCUCACAUGUGUUAAGAAACUGCCUCUUUGGCUCAAGAAUUCCACUCUAGAAAUUUGUAUCGAGGAGACGAGAGCCAAGAACUCAGUAUUCCCGGGACACGUGUAUCCCAGUGACCCUCUGGAAGUCUCCGAGGACUGGUCGAUGGACAUUGGAGGUCGAGGUCCCCCUGUGAGGCCUCGUCGCAUGUUGUGCCGCGGUGACUCCUGAGCAAGCUGUAAAAGUGAUAAAAUUUCAUGUGGCCCUGGGUUGGGUGAAGCAUUUUAAUCAACUGCCGGCCGGGUUAAAUCUGUCCUGCAGGAGCCUGGAUGCCAAUGCAGCUGUUAUCUGAUCAAUGAAACAAGCCGAAGGUUUAAGAGAUGCGGGGCCUGCGAUUAGGGACAGGUAAUCGGGUAACUGUCUAUUAGCAGGACAAGCCCGAUCGGUAUUGAUCAAGGAAAGGGAAAAGUCUGACUUGAUUAACAAACCCUCUCGGCGUCAAUAAAGUAAUGGUG
rnacentral:lncRNA from 1 species